rnacentral:rRNA from 1 species
AAGCUCGUAGUUGAAUUUCGAAUGUGGCUGGGCGGUCCGCCUCACGGUGUGUACUGUCUGGCUGUGUUCUCUUUCUUGGUGAGCCGGCAUGCCCUUUACUGGGUGUGUUGGGGAACCAGGACGUUUACCUUGAGAAAAUUAGAGUGUUCAAAGCAGGCCUACGCCCGAAUACAUUAGCAUGGCAUAAUAAAAUAGGACGUGCGGUUCUAUUUUGUUGGUUUCUAGAGCCGCAGUAAUGAUUAAUAGGAUAGUUGGG